CCGUUUACAUCAAGUAAAGUCUCAGAGGCUCAGCAGAGUAUUACUUGCCAAAGCCAUAUGGCAGGUCAGUGAGAGAUAGAGCCAUGACCAUCAACCCUUUGGGAGACAGAAGAGCCCCUGGAUGUAGUCCAGUCAACUCAUACAGAAGCCCACAAGAAGAAGCUGGAACAAGUAACAUCUACAUUUUAAAAAGCUCCCCAAUUGACAACAUGAAGCCAACAAAACAGACGAAAUGCAUCUGUGGUGAAACAUCAGAAAAUGCCAGUAAAAAGCAUUCAGUUGUACUCCAAGAGUCACCUUCCAUUAGUACUAAUAAAAAGUUAAGUAUACCAGAAGAAAUUGAACCAAUGAUCAUAGCUUCACCACCUACAGGAGAAUGUCUAAUAAGGUAUGCCAUACCCAUUCCAUCUGAUAACUCACAGAUGACACAUGAUCUGCAGAUGCUUAGGCAGACUAUCGACCAUCUCAGUCAGACUGUUUCUGUAAUGCAAGAUGUCUAUGCUAUAACUAGAGAAGAUGAAGUAAUAGAAUUUCAAGAUACAGAAGAUGGUGAAAGGGCAUUCCCUGUAUGUUUAACCAAUCCAUAUUUCAUAGUUUGUAAGAUGGGAUCUUCAUUUUUAUGUGGAGAUGAUAUGACCUCAUUCUUUUUUAAUUGUUCAUCAAUUGCAACUCAGCUACAGAAAGCAGUUCAGGAAGAAAAAAUUUUAUUGGAGUCCCUGAAUCAGUGGUUUCAGCAGGAAGUAACUCUUGUGGAAAAGUUAGGUCAAGAGCAGAAUGUUCCUGAUUGGGAGCUUCCUUUGCCUGAUAAAACAAUAACUAAGAAUAUUACAAAAAUAGCAAAGCAAGUGAGGAAACUUGAAGAAUUGAAGGAUCGCUUUCAAAGGAUACCCAAACCCACCUGGGCUUUAGUCCCUAAAGUCAAACAAGAGAAGAACAAGCCUCUAGACCUGGGUCAAAUGUUGAGAGAUUCAAAUUUCAAUGUGGAAGAAAUUAUUAAAACCUGUGGAGUAGAUGUGAUGAAUAUCCUUCAGGAGGCACAAGAUGAUUAUUCCUCCUCAACUGAUUUCCUGACUCAUCGUUUACAAGACAUACUGAAAAUAUUUGAAAAGCAGUCAACUAAGUUGCAAAGAGUUUUAAAUGAACAAGAUAUUCUAGAGGAUAAAUACAGGCAGAUGCAAAAUGAGUAUCAAUUGUUAGCUGAGGAAAAAAUGAUGAUGGACAAUGCACUAAAAACACUAACGGAGUCAGAACAAGGAGAGGUAACUGCUGCAAAAUUUGAGAAAACAAAAAGUACUGAGACGGAAGUUCUUCAACCUUCUGGGAGUAAAGUGUUAGAUGGACAACAAGCUUCUCUGGACUCACCAGUCAAAGAAACUGAAAAUAUUAAAAUAAAAUGUGACUUACUUCAAGCCCAGAAAACAGUAAAAAUUCUGGAAGCUGAGAAGAAAGCCCUUCAAGAAAAAUUGCAACAUGCUUUACAGGAAGCUGAAAAAGCUAAGGAGGAACAAGUAAAAUCAGCCUCAUUUUCGGAAGCCUCACAAAACUAUAGGAAACAUGAAAGUGAAGACAAUAACAAAGCAAGUUUAAAGAAAGUCAAGGAAAGCAUAACCAAAAGCAAACGGGAAUAUUCAAGGAAGAAAUCUGGAGAUAAAGAAGUCACAAAAUUUACAACAGAAUCAGCACAAAAGGACAUUAGAACUGAAAGAAGAAGCUUAAUUAUCAGAGAACAACCACCUCAGGUUUUAUCCCGUACUACACUGAGUUCUCUGAAAUCUGUUGAAAUCAAAGAAAAACCAAAGAUUUCCCAAGGGAAAAAAACAAGUUUUGAAGGAGAAAGCUCAAGGAAGGAAACCCAUAGUCCUGCUAUUUCAGAUCUUUCACAAGUACCCAAAAUGGAAGAAGAAUCAUCCUCCUUAAAGAAUAAAAAUACGCUAUUAUUAUUAAGAUUAAGAUCUUCAGAUAAUCAAGAAUCAUCCAAGCGUAUCUCUUCUGAGACACAAGAAAAAUCAUUUCUACCCGUUUUAUCCACAAAGGAAAAGCAAGUAUCACCAUCAGUUAGAUCGAGUGUUGAAAGAGACGACGCUUUGACCAAGUUGCCAGAACUCUUUGGUCCUGAAUUUCAAGACACUCAGUUACUCACUACUUCUAAUGAAAAUGAAACUGAUAGUAAAUUAUCUAAGGGUGCUGUUUCAGAAAUGCUGUUACCAAGCUACAGUUUACAACAAACAUGUCACGAAGCAGAGUUUCAUGAGGGGAGAGUAAAAUAUUUAGAGAAGAACAUACAUGGGGAUUUAAUCCAAUUGACUGAUUUAGAAUAUAAAAAACCUGGUCAGAGUCUUGUAGAAACAGAUGGAGUCACUGGUAUUUCAGAAGAACUUGAAACAACAAAUCAGCUGGCAGACCUGCAAGCAGUCACAGCAGAAUUAGUCAGAGCAUCAACUAGAAGUCUUUGUCCACAGCACCCUGUCUCAGCUCUGACGAUACCUCAAGAAGCCUCAGAAUACUGUGUAGAAGCCACUGGUCCAGACUCAUCCUUGAAAGACCUUCAUCAAAUUCAGACUCUUAUAAUUGACCAACCAGAGAAAAUCAGAGAGAAUAAUAUAGAAGAUUUAUCAAAGUGUAUCAUGCGGCAUUAUCCAAAGGAAAAAAGUGUUCAGCCUGUGGCUCAACCAGCUUCCUCAAAGAGUAGUCCACUUGUGGAGAUGCUUUCCAAACUACGAGUUCCACAAAGGGAAGUCCAUGUUAUGCAGAAUCCUGUAGAUGGAAAGAACCUUUGGCCUCAGAGCCAGGAACUUCACAAGAGGAGCUUUCUACCAGUUAGGUCGCCAAAGACUGUGGAUUUGUUGCAUUCCCAACACCAAGUGAAGGGGACACAGUUUCUGCCAUUUCAACUGACCACGAACCAGACUAAGUAUUUGGUGAAAAAUUCCCUUUCUCCCGCUAGAAGGAUCUUUGCUGCAGUCUUCCACCUAAAGGAUAUGGCCAAUCCCCAUUUUAAGGAGCAGAACUACUCAAUCUAUCACCACCUUGAACCGAUUCAUUUGUCUUGCGUCUGCACCAUUGCAGAUUCCCUCAUGAGAGGAAAGUAGGGAGAAGUGCCUAUGGCACAAUAAACAAAGUUCUUGCAUUUGCCUCCCUUCCUCUCAGCUUUGCUCUACCCUUUAUCCCUCCUGAUGAUCUGGACCACCAGGGGAAAGCCAAAAAACCAGUAAGAACAUAAGCAAUGCCCUACUGUCUCUCAGGUACCCAUAAUGCUUCUCAACUGUUGGGUCUAUAUGGUCGAUUCCAGCCCACUUCACAGAAAACAGAGAUGCCCUUGUAUCUUGCUGGAAAGAGUUUCUGCCAAUCAAGACCAGAAACAAUUACUACAGUUAAAAAUAAGUCAUUAUUGAAACACUAAGUAACUCGGAGGCAAGUUAAAGCAGUGAGAACCAAAGUGCCAAUUAAAAAUAAAAAUGCAUGCGUGCCCUAUCA